rnacentral:misc_RNA from 1 species
GAUGAAGAACGUAGCAAAAUGCGAUAAGUAAUGUGAAUUGCAGAAUUCAGUGAAUCAUCGAAUCUUUGAACGCACAUUGCGCCCGCUGGUAUUCCGGCGGGCAUGCCUGUUCGAGCGUCAUUUCAACCCUCAAGCCCCCGGGUUUGGUGUUGGGGAUCGGCUCUGCCCUUCUGGGCGGUGCCGCCCCCGAAAUACAUUGGCGGUCUCGCUGCAGCCUCCAUUGCGUAGUAGCUAACACCUCGCAACUGGAACGCGGCGCGGCCAUGCCGUAAAACCCCAACUUUCUUAGAGUUGACCUCGGAUCAGGUAGGAAUACCCGCUGAACUUAAGCAUAUCAAUAGCGGAGGA